UCCUACGGGAGGCAGCAGUGGGGAAUAUUGGACAAUGGGGGAAACCCUGAUCCAGCGACGCCGCGUGAGUGAAGAAGUGUUUCGGCAUGUAAAGCUCUAUCAGCAGGGAAGAAAAUGACGGUACCUGACUAAGAAGCCCCGGCUAACUACGUGCCAGCAGCCGCGGUA
rnacentral:rRNA from 1 species